rnacentral:misc_RNA from 1 species
AACUAACGCUAUUAUUGAUACAGUUUCUGUACUUUAUUGGUAUGAGAAGCUUCCGGAAUAAUAAUCCGUGAUUAUUGUUCUGGAUAUUUUUGGAAUAAAA